GGGAGUCGGCUGCCUGUUUGAGCCGGCGGCGCGUGUGCAGUCGUCGUCCCGCAGGCAGUUCCGCUGGGCACGCUGGGUUUUCAGAGCCCUGACGAUACAGCGUUCGGGUCCACUAGUCUCACUAAAAACUUGGAAGACUCGGUGCCAUUCCUUUAUUCGUGCCGAGGCGAGAGGGACUCAGGGUGAGAUGAGAGCGGUCUCAGCUUCUGCACCUCGACUUGCACAUCUGUAAAAUGGGGCUGAUAGCCCUCCUGCUCUCAAGAGCACGUGGAGGUGCCAGGCAUCGUGGUCCUCAGUACAUCUUAGGUUACUGGUGUUUCCCGCCUCCAGCCACCGUGCCGCCAUUCCCUCCUGCGUGCCCAAGCCCUCUCCCUGUAUCACCUUCCAGAUGGGAAAGCCAAAGCUUGGAAAAGUCACUUGACCGAGGUCACAAAGCUAGUAGGUUGUCCUCAAACUUGGCAAUUCUCCUGCCUCAGCCUUCUCUGACGAACUGGAAUUACAGGCAUGUACCACUGUACUCAGCUGUUAGAUCUUUUCUAAGUAAGAUCUGUGAAUUAAAAAAUUCAAGUUGGAAAGGGAUGACACAUGAUUUGAGAAUGGCAGGAAGAAACUUUGCCUUGAGGAGGAGGGACAGUACACUGGGGGCCACCUUCUUUGCACAAUGAGCCAUACACUUGAAGGAUGGGGGUGAGAUCUCCCACAGAAUGCUGAGACCGAGGCUGUGACAGCAGUGAUCUUCGCUGCAAAUCAGAGCGUGAAACUGGCUGAUUCAGGCAGAAGUGGGAUUCAUGAAAGAAUGGUUCUGAGCACAGAGAACUGCUGAGAGGGUGGAGAGCUGGGCACAGACCGACCAGGGGGAGUAGGGGAGGAAAAGUCUGCACCACCUGUCGGACUUCACUUCUGUGGAUUCCCAAGGUCAGAGCGACCGAUGUUCAUCUUUCAACUGAAACAGCACCGGAGGCAACCUUUUAAGAUCUCCUAUUCUCUGUUUUCUACAUUUAUUAUUAUUACUAUUGUUACUAUUAUUACUAUUAUUAUUAUUAAAAAGUCCAAAAGGAGUUUGGGAGAAAGCAUAAAGGAAAAAAAAUGCACUGAAGGCCAUCAGACUAGGGAGACUGAGCAGAAUCAUGAUCAGCGCUCUGUUCUAACAGAUUAUGGAUUUGGUAGGUAAGAUUGCUUCUAAAGCAUUUGUGAAGUAGCAGUGGUGCCCACGGAUAGGACCAGUUACUCAGAAGGUUGAGGCAGGAUGGCUUGAGCCUGAGAGUUUGAGGCCAGCCUUGACAACAUAGUGAGACCAUCUCUUAAAAAAACAGGCUGGGGGUAUAGCCCAGUGGUAGAGCGCUUGCCUCGCAUGCACCAGGCCCUGGGUUCCGUCCCACCACCACAAAAACAUAUACAUACGUGCAGAAGAAGUAAAAAUCCAGACUUGGGCUGGGGUUGUGGCUCAGUGGUAGAGUGCUCCCACAUGAGGCACUGGGUUCUAUCCUCAACACUACAUAAAAAUAAAUAAAGGUAUGGUGUCCA